UGCGGGAAACAGGAGAACUGCAAUGAGUAAGGUACGGAAAGUGAGAGGUGUUGGUUGGGACAUAUCUGCUCUUGGAAACGGUAAGAGAUGAGCUGUUCUAUUUUAGAAUGUUCAGAACUUAAGUGAUGCAUUUUCUUCCAAAGCUGUAUUAAUCCAUUCAGUUGUGCUCAUCUCAGUGCAUACUGUCAUCCAGAGUAAAAAUGCUUUUGCUACUGUGUUCUGAUCUUUUGCAUCAUUCCAGCAACUUGGGGAGGAGCGAAACUGUCUGAUGUCCUUGAGUUAGUUGGAAUACCUAAACUCAGUUCAGUUUCAUCUUUAGGAGGGAAGCAUGUUGAGUUUGUUAGUGUUGACAAGUGUAAAGUGAGUAUAUUGGUCAUAUUAACUGGCAGCAGCUUUUAGGGUCACCACUGAUCUCAUGUUGUUUGUCUUUCAGGAGGAAAAAGGUGGUCCUUAUACUGCAUCUAUUCCAUUAAAGCAGGCAACAGAUCCUGAUGCUGAUGUAUUACUUGCAUAUGAAAUGAAUGGAGAGGUGAGCAAUUGUGACCUUUCUUUUCAUAACCGAAAUUUUGUUUUACAUAGUCUUCAAUCUAAUGUUGAAGUCUGUUUUAAGUAGUUUUUUUCGCGAUGCUGUUAUCCCAGUUAGACAUCUUGUUUCCCUUGUCAUUUAAUCUGGAUGUGUUCUGUACUGUGUCUUCACAUGUUAUAAGUUAUCAUAUAUAGAUCCUCAAUCGUGAUCAUGGAUACCCACUCCGUGUUGUUGUUCCUGGUGUUAUUGGUGCACGUUCUGUAAAAUGGCUGGACAGUAUCAACAUAAGCGAGGAAGAAUGCCAGGUUUUCAGAAAAUAUGAAUGCUAUGCCUUUUCAACUUUAUUUUUCAAUGUUCAAAUCUGACUGCUAUUCUCGACCAGGGUUUUUUUACGCAAAAAGAUUACAAAAUGUUUCCACCAACCGUGGACUGGGACAAUAUUGAUUGGUCAACUAGAAGGCCACAGAUGGACUUCCCUGUACAGGUAUACGACAUUAUCAAUUCAUCUAUGCUAAUCUGUUCUGCUUGGCUUCUGGAAAACUUAUCUAUCUUACUUUUGAUCAAGUAGUCUGCUAUCUGUACACUGGAAGAUGUAGAUGUUAUCAAGGAAGGAAAGGUUAGUGUUACUUCCUAAUAAUUUACUCUGAUAUUGCAUCCUGUGUGCGUAAUAUGGGCUAGAAUAAAAUCUUAUUAAUGCACGGCUAUCAUCACUUGCUGCAGGCUAGGAUUGCUGGAUAUGCACUUUCAGGUGGUGGCCGUGGCAUUGAGAGAGUAGAUAUAUCUGUUGAUGGGGGUAAAACCUGGGUUGAGGCUCGCAGAUAUCAGAAAGACAACGUGCCAUACGUAUCUGAUGGACCCCAAAGUGAUAAGUGGGCUUGGGUCCUCUUUGAGGCUACAUUAGACAUACCAGCAAAUGCUGAGAUAGUAGCAAAGGCGGUAAGUGAAACCCAUCGCAACCCACUGUCUCACUAACUUUUGCUGCUUUGCAUAAAACAGGUUGUGAAAAUGCAUCUUGUGGACUGCAGGUGGACUCAGCUGCGAACGUCCAACCUGAAAACGUGGAAGACAUAUGGAACCUGAGAGGAAUCCUCAACACAUCUUGGCAUCGGAUCAAAAUACAGAAUUCGUCGUGCGUUGGAAGAUCUAAGCUGUGAAAUAAGAACACGCUGCUGAUCGCUUGGAGCAAUCGUGGUGGUGAUCCUUGCAAGUGUUACCACAAGCGUUACCAUUGU
rnacentral:lncRNA from 1 species